CUCCCCCCCAGCCCCGCCUACAACAUGGCCGCCGCCCGAAGGUUGGUUCUGACGAGCGUCCGCCAGGGUCCGGUGCCCCUCGAGGGUCUGAUCCCCCCCGGGACCCCCCGAGGAACCGUGGGGAGGAUUUUUUCUGUCUGUCUGGAUUAAAUUAGAUUCCUGGUUUUCUUCCUCACCAGUUGAACUUGUUACUGUCAUCGGGGAAUGAAAACUUCCCUCUCCUUGUCUCAGGAAGGCUUCAGGUUCUCUCCUGGAGGGCAAAAUAUUCCUCAGAACUGAGCAGUGUCCUUGGCUCUGCACAACACUCUCUGGCCUCUGCUCUCUCCUCAUGUAACGCUUGGCUGUGGCGAGAGCGCUGAAAUCCGGUACUGAAACGCCUCGGAAUAACAAUCUCACCGUGCCUGCUGUCGGUUUUACUCGGUUUUCGUGCUA